CUUUUUUUUGGCCAUCUAAUAGUUUUGUUGUCAACAUCAAUCCAGUUGUCUGGGGCAGUUCCCUCCACUUCCUUGCCAUGCUCCACCCACACAGCCCUGGCAUACAUGAUCUGGUAAUGGACAAUCAGGGCAAAGCAAAAAGAACUAGAAAGAGGAAAGUCUUCCAUGACUUUAAUGACUUGGACCUUGAAAACGGCAGUGAUGUGACAGUGAUUGCUCAGUCAAAGUCUCCUGGCAGUCAAAAAACGUCACAUAACAAACAGCCAUCUUUCAGAGAGAGAAUUCAUGAAUCAUUCUCCAGGCCAUCUGGGA